rnacentral:rRNA from 1 species
AUACGUAGGUGGCGAGCGUUGUCCGGAAUUACUGGGCGUAAAGGAUGCGUAGGUGGAUACUUAAGUGGGAUGUGAAAUCCCCGGGCUCAACCCGGGAACUGCAUUCCAAACUGGGUAUCUAGAGUGCAGGAGAGGAAAGCGGAAUUCCUAGUGUAGCGGUGAAAUGCGUAGAUAUUAGGAGGAACACCAGUGGCGAAGGCGGAUUUCUGGGCUGUAGCUGAGGCUGAGGCAUGAAAGCGUGGGUAGCAAACAGGAUUAGAUACCCUGGUAGUCCACGCCGUAAACGAUGGGUACUAGGUGUAGGAGGUAUCGACCCCUUCUGUGCCGUCGUUAACACAAUAAGUACCCCGCCUGGGGAGUACGGUCGCAAGACUAAAACUUAAAGGAAUUGACGGGG